GACGAACGCUGGCGGCGUGCUUAACACAUGCAAGUCGAACGGAAAGGCCUCUCUUGGGGGGUACUCGGGAGGCGAACGGGUGUGUAACACGUGAGUAACCUCCCCUUGAGUUUGGGGUAACUUCAGGAAACUGGGGCCAAUACCCGAUAGGAGCUCCUGCUGCAUGGUGGGGGUUGGAAAGUUUCGGCGGGUGGGGAUGGACUCGCGGCUUAUCAGCUUGUUGGUGGGGGAGUGGCUUAACAAGGCUUUGACGGGUAGCCGGGCUGAGAGGGUGACCGGCCACAUUGGGACUGAGAUUCUGCCCAGGCUCCUACGGGGAGCAGGAGGGGGGAAUUUUGCCCAAUGGGCGGGAGCCCGAUGCAACAACGCCCAGUGCAGGAAGACUGCCUUUGGGUUGGCAACCGCUUUCCGGCAUGGAGAAGCUGUGCGUGACGGUAGUGGGUAAAGAAGCACCGGCUAACUACGUG
rnacentral:rRNA from 1 species